rnacentral:rRNA from 1 species
GAUGAACGCUGGCGGCGUGCCUAAUACAUGCAAGUCGAGCGAACGGACGAGAAGCUUGCUUCUCUGAUGUUAGCGGCGGACGGGUGAGUAACACGUGGAUAACCUACCUAUAAGACUGGGAUAACUUCGGGAAACCGGAGCUAAUACCGGAUAAUAUUUUGAACCGCAUGGUUCAAAAGUGAAGGACGGUCUUGCUGUCACUUAUAGAUGGAUCCGCGCUGCAUUAGCUAGUUGGUAAGGUAACGGCUUACCAAGGCAACGAUGCAUAGCCGACCUGAGAGGGUGAUCGGCCACACUGGAACUGAGACACGGUCCAGACUCCUACGGGAGGCAGCAGUAGGGAAUCUUCCGCAAUGGGCGAAAGCCUGACGGAGCAACGCCGCGUGAGUGAUGAAGGUCUUCGGAUCGUAAAACUCUGUUAUUAGGGAAGAACAUAUGUGUAAGUAACUGUGCACAUCCUGACGGUACCUAAUCAGAAAGCCACGGCUAACUACGUG